rnacentral:rRNA from 1 species
UACGUAGGGAGCAAGCGUUGUCCGGAAUCAUUGGGCGUAAAGCGCGCGUAGGUGGCUUCGUAAGUCCGUUGUGAAAGUCAAAGGCUCAACCUUUGAAAGCCGAUGGAUACUGCGGAGCUAGAGUACGGAAGAGGCGAGUGGAAUUCCUGGUGUAGCGGUGGAAUGCGCAGAUAUCAGGAGGAACACCAAUAGCGAAGGCAGCUCGCUGGGACGUUACUGACACUGAGGCGCGAAAAGCGUGGGGGAGCGAACGG